CUCUUCGUUAAGUCCUCCUUCCCAACAUGGCGCAGUCUAUUAACAUCACGGAGCUGAAUCUGCCGCAGCUAGAAAUGCUCAAGAACCAGCUGGACCAGGAAGUGGAGUUCUUGUCCACGUCCAUUGCCCAGCUCAAAGUGGUACAGACCAAGUAUGUGGAAGCCAAGGACUGUCUGAACGUGCUGAACAAGAGCAACGAGGACGGCAUUUCGCUCUGUCGCCCAGGCUGGAGUGCAGUGGUGCGAUCUAGGCUUACUGCAACCUCCGCCUCCCGAGUUCAAGAGAUUCUGCCUCAGUCUCCCGAGUAGCUGGGACUGCAGGUACGCGCCACCACGACCGGCUAAUUUUUGUAUUAUUAGUAGAGAUGGGGUUUCACAUAUUGGCCAGGCUAGUCUCAAACUCCUGACCUCGUGAUCCGCCUGCCUCGGCCUCCCAAAGUGCUAGGAUUACAUUACAGGCGUGAGCCACUGCCC
rnacentral:sRNA from 1 species